CCUUUUUUCCUUAUUCCUUUUCUUCUCAUUCAUACAGCAGCACAGUGCUGUUAUGUGUGCAGACAGAAAUAUAAAGUAUGAAAAUGCUCUGGAUUUUUUCAGCCCCGUGUAAAGCCGUGUGAUUAGCAUGGAAUGCUCUGAGCAGUACUGGCACGCACGCUGGCAUCGGCAGCCACAGCACGACAGCAGGGAAGGCCGCUCCUCCUCUUCCUCUAUGCCGCCAGCUCCACCGCCCCCUCCUCCUCGCUGUCCGCCCGGUUGGCGCGGAUCUCCACCAGGGUCCGAGCGAAGCGCGUCCAUUCGUCGUUGUGCGGCACUGCCAGCUGCACAGGGAGAGACAGCACAGGGAUGACGGCCCGGCGAGGCACGGCGCCUGUCACUGCCCGUGGCCGGCCAUGUCAGCCCGCAGCGCUGCCCCAUCCCGGCACAAAGCCACUCUUCUCCCAUCCAGCUCCGGUGGCAGAGAGAAAAGCUUCUCUCUCUGCAGGAUUCUGGGGAGGAGUGCUUUGCUUCAGCACUGUCGCAGAACCCCUCUGUGAACCUUUCUGAUUUUCCAAACUACCACAAGCUCGCUCUCUGUGACACAUCCAUAUGCAUUUCACAGCACACACAUGGCCAAGAGUAAUUGUUUGCAGGACCGAGGUCAGUGUGUACAAGGUAACAGUGCUUUUACAACGUUGUUCUGCAACCAUGUUCCUGAAGUUCAUUAAAGCUCUUAUUAAAAUAAA